rnacentral:piRNA from 1 species
UCUGCAUCUUGUCAUAAUCUCUGGUUCCAC